UGUGUGUGUGUGUGUGUGUGUGUCAUAACAAUCGCUAACCACUUCAAGCUUCAGGGGACCAGAAGAGCCCCUUACACUCACACGGUUUACAUCUGCAGGACAUGUCUGUGCCCGGUGAUGCAGUCAUAAUGUCCAUCAGGGCACACAUGGCAUCCUUCCCAUUUCAAGCACAUUGGUUAAACUCUGCUGCACACACCUGGGUGCUGCCCACAACAACCAACUAAGGAGGAGAAAAGAAGACCCAGAGAAGGU